rnacentral:pre_miRNA from 1 species
UUAGUACUCCCUCCGUCCCAAAAUUCUUGUCUUAAAUUUGUCUAGAUACGGAUGUACCUAAUACUAAAACGUGACUUGAUACAUCCGUAUUUAGACAAAUUUAAGACAAAAAUUUUGGGACGGAGGGAGUACCUU